AUUGAACGCUGGCGGAAUGCUUUACACAUGCAAGUCGAACGGCAGCACGGGUGCUUGCACCUGGUGGCGAGUGGCGAACGGGUGAGUAAUGCACCGGAACGUAUCCAAUAAUGGGGGAUAACGCACCGAAAGGUGUGCUAAUACCGCAUACGCCCUGAGGGGGAAAGCGGGGGAUCGUAAGACCUCGCGUUAAUGGAGCGGCCGAUGCCGGAUUAGCUAGUUGGUGAGGUAAAGGCUCACCAAGGCGACGAUCCGUAGCUGGUCUGAGAGGACGACCAGCCACACUGGAACUGAGACACGGUCCAGACUCCUACGGGAGGCAGCAGUGGGGAAUUUUGGACAAUGGGCGCAAGCCUGAUCCAGCCAUUCCGCGUGAGUGAAGAAGGCCUUCGGUUGUAAGACGUCUUUCGUCAAGGAAAGGAAAUACGUAUGGGUUAAGUACCCUACGUGCGGAUGACGGUACCGGCGAUAAGAAG
rnacentral:rRNA from 1 species